AAGUGGGCGUGGCAAACUGGGAACCCAGAGGAGGCUGACUGAGGAUCAAAUUGAGAUGACACAGGGGACACAGAGAAGCUUUUUUAAAACCAGUCUGCUAAUCGCCAAAAAAAAGAAAAAAAAGGGAAAAAAAAGAAGGAGCUUUAAGAAAAGGACAUUAUUUAGUCUUAGAUCCAUACUCCAAUUCAGAAGGUGGCAGUAUCGCACCUUUGUUGUUUGCCAACCCCCAAACAAAAACAAGAAGAAGAAGAAGAAGAAGAAGAAGCAGACAGAGAAGCUGAAAAGCAGGACUUCCUUCAAGUGAGAAAAUAACAACACAAAAACUGAACAAAAAUCCCAAGAACAAAACACAGACUGACAAAGAUCCAAACUGAAGGGGAGAACAGAAAUGAAGGAAAACAACACAAGGAAUAAGGUUCUGGAUUCUAGGAGGGUUCCAGGAAUCGAGGAGCUGUUURCAGAAGUUUCUGGACUUUUCAAGUAAAUUUACAGGCAGAGGAACACACCACUGACUGGAGGAGUUCCAGGAUCAAGCAGAGGAUUCUGCACAAAGAGAACAGG